GUGACCAAGGACCGGCCAGCUACUAAAGCAGGUGACCAAGGACCGGCCAGCUACUACAGCGAGGCGACCAAGGACCGGCCAGCUACUACAGCGAGGCGACCAAGGACCGGCCAGCUACUACAGCGAGGCGACCAAGGACCGGCCAGCUACUACCAGCGCGGGACCAAGGACCGGCCAGCUACUACAGCGAGGGACCAAGGACGCAGCUACUACAGCGAGGUGACCAAGGGCCAGCUACUACAGCGAGGUGACCAAGGACCGGCCAGCUACUACGCGAGGUGGACCAAGGACCGCCGCUCUACAGCAGGUACCAAGGACGGCCAGCUACUACAGCUACUACAGCAAGGUGACCAAGGACCGGCCAGCUACUACAGCGAGGUGACCAGGACGGCCAGCUACUACAGCUACUAAAGCAAGGUGACCAAGGACCGGCCAGCUACUACAGCGAGGUGACCAAGGACCGGCCAGCUACUACAGACUCAGCCAAGGUGGUGACCAAGGACCGGCCAGCUACUACAGCGAGGUGACCAAGGACGGCCAGCUACUACAGCGAGUGACCAAGGACCGGCCAGCUACUACAGUACUACAGCAAGGUGACCAACGGGCAGUCUUCUCCAGUACCCAUGUCAGUUGGUGAGGGAUUCCUGAGUCUUCUCCAGUACCCAUGUCAGUUGGUGAGGGACUCCUGAGUCUUCUCCAGUACCCAUGUCAGUUGGUGAGGGACUCCUGAGUCUUCUCCAGCCCAGUAACCCAAUCGCCCAUGUCAGUUGGUGACAUUUCCAAGUCUGUAACCUGUACUCCCUGGGCUUUCACAUCAAUUUCAAGUGCUGCAAAAGGUUCAUUGAAUGUACUUAUUUAGCACUUUCAUGAUAGCCACUACUGCUGGAACAUUGUAGAUACAUCAGCCUUGUACCUGGUGUUGACUGUGUUUGGUGCUGGUUGUUGCUCCGCUUUACGUUGAGAAACAGCUACUAGCAACAUGGGUCCGAUCUUUUACUUCUCUGAUAUACAAAUAUUAGGCCAGUGUUAAUAUUAAUAUUUAAAUAUUAGGCCAGUGUUAAUAUUUAAAUAUUAGGCCAAUGUUAACAUUUAAAUAUUAGGCCAGUGUUAAUAUUUAAAUAUUAGGCCGGUGUUAAUAUUAAUAUUAGGCCAGUGGUCAUUUUAACAUUUAAAUAUUAGGCCAGUGUUAAUAUUAAUAUUUAAAUAUUAGGCCAGUGUUAAUAUUAAUAUUUAAAUAUUAGGCCAAUGUUAACAUUUAAAUAUUAGGCCAGUGUUACUAUUUAAAUAUUAGGCCGGUGUUAAUAUUAGGCCAGUGGUCAUUUUAACAUUUAAAUAUUAGGCCAGUUGUAAUUUUAUAGCAUUUUAAGCAAAAAAAAGGGUGAUAAUAUUGAGUGAUAUUUGCGCACCUCACUCCAUUACUCACCCAGAACAGGAAGCUCGAGCUACAGUCUAUAUCAUAACUAGACCAGUUGGUAACUCUACAGUCUAUAUAAUAACUAGACCAGUUGGUAACUCUACAGUCUGUGUAUCAAACUAGACCAGUUGGUAACUCUACAGUCUGUGUAUCAAACUAGACCAGUUGGUAACUCUACAGUCUAUAUCAUAACUAGACCAGUUGGUAACUCUACAGUCUAUAUCAUAACUAGACCAGUUGGUAACUCUACAGUCUAUAUCAUAACUAGACCAGUUGGUAACUCUACAGUCUGUAUCAUAACUAGACCAGUUGGUAACUCUACAGUCUAUAUCAUAACUAGACCAGUUGGUAACUCUACAGUAUGUGUAUCAUACCUAGACCAGUUAACUCUCCAGUAUGUGUAUGAUAACUAGAACAGUUAACUCUACAGUCUGUGUAUCAUACCUACAGUAGGACCGUUGUUAAGGUCUUCAUAGAGGACAGCUAUAACCCUAAGUAUUACUGUUAUCGGUUCAACAAUCACUCAGCUACGUGCUUGAAUGUAAUUCCGCUCAGUGACGUCACCGGUCAUAACGUACAACGAAGCCUCUAUACAGCCUGACCCAUCAACAAGUUCCGUCCAUUUCAAUACAAUCCCUUCUCUCCCUCCCCCUUCACAGAGCUCUUCAGAUGCACAACUUUCUUUGGUAUUGUUUUUCCUUCUUGGUAGAGUUUGUUUCAGGCGAAAGACGACGUACCUUGUUUGAUGGUCGCCUCUAUGACUUACAUGACGACAUCUCAUCACAGCCGAACAGACACACUGCAUAACCUUCACCAGUUGGAUGUUGGGAUAAAUAAAUGUCAACUUUAUAAAAUCAGACUUUUAUAAAAAUUGUAGAAAGAGUUGGAAAAAUACUCCUCGCCCAAUCGCCGCUAGCUCUAUCGGCCGUAGCUCCCGUUUCCAGGCUCACCCCACGGUUAUAAUAUCCCGUUGGACCGGAGAGAUGAGCAGGGACCGUACUUGGAUCAGGGCAUGGGGCAAAGGGUGAGGAGAGUCUGCUGCAGUCCCGGUCCGCCCUGUACUAGCAGCUCUUCCAUGGAGCCCCGACAGAGACAGGCAUCAGUAGAGGAGCCGCGGAGAGGGAGAGCAGGCUGGAGUUAUCUGUUAGCUGGCCUGGGACAAGUGAGUUAACUAACUACAGUAACUAACUACAUUCUAGUUUUAACUAGCUACUUCUGCUUUCCGCGGUGUCUGUCCGUCUUUACUCUCCCUCCACCCGUCUCUCUCUACAGGAAAAAGAAGUGUAGCGUUCUGCUCUCACACUAUCUACAUGUUUAUUUAUCUUUAGCAAACUGUUGACAACUUGCAUAAACCCGGAAGUUCCGCUCCGUGUUUAUGGCGCCCUGGCGGUCCCUGCUGGCCAGAUCAAAGUACUGCUGUCUCCCUCCAGCGGAUGGCGUUUUUUCGUUGUUUUUUCGAAGUGGGAUGGGGCCUGAUGCCAUCGAAGAGGCGUGUACACGUGGGGAACUUGGUGUAGAGAUAUCGGAGGAGCAAUGAUUUUUUAUUUAUUUUUUAUUUAACGAGGCAAGUCAGUUAUUUUCAAUGACGGCCUACCAGGGCGCCUUGUUCAGGGGCAAAAUGACAGAUUUUGACCUGGUCUUCUCAGGGAUUUGAUCCAGCAACCUUUCAGUUACUGACCCAACGCACUAGGCUACCUGCCAUCCCUAACGUAUCCCGUAUAGCCCGGUGUUAUUAAUGAUAAUAGCCUGUAGCUGUGUGUUAUUCAUGAUAAUAGCUGAGCUGAGCUGGUGCCUCUUGCAGCUGAGGCCACAUCCCUGACAGUGGAUGUGAUGAGGUGACAAGAUGGCGGCUGAGGCCACAUCCGUGACAGUAGAUGUGAUGAGGUGACAAGAUGGCGGCUGAGGCCACAUCCCUGACAUGAUACAGUGUCACACCCUGACCUUAGAGAUCCUUAUUUAUUCUCAAUGAUUUUGUUAGGUCAGGGUGUGACUCGGGUGGGAAAAUUCUGUUUUCUAUAUCUUUGUUGUUUUGCCAAGUGUGGUUCCCAAUCAGAGGCAGCUGUCUAUCGUUGUCUCUGAUUGGGGAUCAUAUAUAUGUUGUGAUUUUCCAUUUGGGUUUUGUGGGGUGUUAUUUUCUGUUUAGUGUCUGUGCCUGACGGAACUGUUUGCUUUCAUUUUUGAAUUUGUUAUUUUUGUUUGAGUGUUUCUUGAAAAUAAAUAUCAUGAACACUUUCCACGCUGGUCCAUUCUUCCUUCCACCGACGACAACGAGCGUUACAGUCAGACAGUGCAGUAAUAACAAUUUCACAACAAAUACCUAAUACACACAAAUCUAAGUAAUGGAAUAAGAAUAUAUAAAUAUAUGGACGAGCAAUGUCAGAGCGGCAUAGACUAAGAUACAGAAGAUAGUAUAGAAUGCAGUAUAUACAUAUGAGAUGAGUAAUGCAAGAUAUGCAAACAUUAUUAAAGUGACUAGUGUUCCAUUUAUUAAAUUGGUGUUCAAGUCUGUAUGUAGGCAGCAGCCUCUCUGUGCUUGUGAUGGCUAUACAAUGUUAAAUUACUUGUGUAAUAUCCUGAAAAUUAUUUCAGUCCAAGUUGUCAACCCUACUUGAAGUUACUGAUGUUGUAAAAUUAAGCUGCUGAUACCUAGCC
rnacentral:lncRNA from 1 species